ensembl:lncRNA
AUGCCAAAAGAGAAAUGCCAGAGAUAUGGAGUCAGUUAUCCACUACUGAUUCUGACUACACACAUAAAUACCUGUGUGACCAGUGAGGAUGCUGAACAGACUGGUGAUGAAGCUGAACAGACAAAUGAUGAUGCUGACCAGACCAGUGAUGAAGCUGAACAAACCAAACAAGCAACUUGCCCCAUAUGUCAAAAAGAAAUGUCUCUCGAUGUAAUAGAGAUUCACGCAAGUUUUUGCAUGGGUGACAGUAUACAACCUCUGGAAUUAAAUAUGUCUAUGGAAGAACCAUCUACAUCUGGAGUUUACGUGCCGUUGACGUAUACCGCUGAACCUUCAAAUGCAGCUAAAGCCACAAGCAUGAGUCAUGGUAUGUGUUUUUGUUUAAGUUUUGAAAUAGAAUUGAUAAACGGAACACAUUUCUGA